AACUGUCCUCAAGCUUUCCCUCUUUCUGUCAAUUUGCCAACGAAACUCUCUCUCGUCCUCGUGUUUUCCCUCUCCCUCUCGUCAUAUAUAACUAUACCCCACGCACACGCGGCACUAUCUCUGUCGCUCUCUCUCUCCGUGCAAGCUUCCGCCUUGCUUUGUUCCUCCCUCAGGAGCUCCGCUGCUUCCUCAAAUGGCGACGAUCAACCUCACCUCCAGAAUGUCCCUCCUCAGCCCCGCCGCCGCCUCCCGGGCCUCCGAUCGCCUCUCCUCCGGCAGGAACCUCUGCGACCUCCUCCUCCUCGAGCCGAGGGGCCGGGGCGGGAGGCGGAGCCGCCUCGCCGCCGCCGCCGCAGCCGCCGCCGCAGCCGCCGCCGCUCCCGAAAGCCGGAACCGCCGCCCCCUCGCCGUGCACAACGGGCCUCUGACCGUCGAUACGUCAAACUCUCCUUUUGAGGUUCAAUCUGAUGAAUAUGAAGUAAGCAAGGCUAGAGUAAGUUUGAAUGGAUUGAGAAAGACAAAGAUAGUCUGUACCAUUGGUCCAUCCACCAGCAGUCGUGAAAUGAUAUGGAAACUUGCUGAAAGUGGAAUGAAUGUGGCCCGUCUUAAUAUGUCGCAUGGUAAUCAUGCCUCACAUCAGAAAACUAUAGACCUGGUCAAAGAAUACAAUGCUCAAUUUCAAGACAAGGUCGUCGCCAUUAUGUUGGACACCAAGGGUCCUGAAGUGAGAAGUGGCGAUGUGCCUCAGCCAAUAAUGCUUAAAGAAGGACAAGAAUUUAAUUUUACUAUCAAACGAGGAGUCAGCACAGAGGAUACUGUUAGUGUUAAUUAUGAUGGCUUCAUUAAUGACGUUGAAGUAGGUGACACACUGUUGGUAGACGGUGGAAUGAUGUCAUUGGCUGUGAAGUCAAAGACAAGGGAUUUAGUAAAAUGUGUCGUAGUCGAUGGUGGCGAAUUAAAGUCAAGGCGUCAUUUGAAUGUGCGCGGCAAGAGUGCUACUCUUCCUUCAAUAACAGAUAAAGACUGGGAAGAUAUUAAGUUUGGGGUGGACAACCAAGUUGAUUUUUAUGCUGUCUCAUUUGUUAAGGAUGCUAAGGUCGUCCAUGAGCUGAAAGAGUAUCUCAAAAGUUGCAAUGCUGACAUUCAUGUGAUUGUCAAAAUCGAAAGUGCCGAUUCUAUCCCAAAUCUCCAUUCGAUUAUUUCCGCUUCUGAUGGGGCAAUGGUCGCUCGUGGAGACCUUGGAGCUGAACUUCCAAUCGAAGAAGUUCCUCUAUUGCAGGAAGACAUCAUCAGAAAGUGUCACAGUAUGCAGAAACCAGUAAUUGUUGCUACAAACAUGCUAGAAAGCAUGAUUGAUCAUCCUACACCAACAAGGGCAGAGGUUUCUGAUAUUGCAAUUGCAGUACGUGAGGGUGCUGAUGCAGUAAUGCUUUCUGGAGAAACUGCCCAUGGAAAGUACCCAUUGAAAGCUGUUAAGGUGAUGCACACUGUAGCUUUGAGAACCGAAUCAAGUCUUAAGACAUCCACCGCACCUCCAGUUCAGUUUGGUGCCUUUAAGAGUCACAUGGGCGACAUGUUUGCUUUCCAUGCCACUACUAUGGCCAAUACGCUUAAUACGCCAAUCAUUGUAUUUACAAGAACUGGAUCCAUGUCUAUUCUUCUGAGCCACUAUCAGCCUUCAUCAACCAUCUUUGCCUUCACAAAUGAAGAGAGGAUCAAGCAGAGGUUAGCACUUUAUCGUGGUGUCAGGCCCAUAUAUAUGCAGCUCUCUGAUGAUGCAGAAGAGACCUUCUCUCGAGCACUCAAGUUAUUAGUGAACAACGGCCUGCUGAAGGAAGGGGAACACGUUACUCUUGUUCAAAGUGGUGCACAACCAAUAUGGCGCCGAGAAUCUACUCACCACAUCCAAGUUCGUAAGGUCCAAGGAUGAUUUUGCGCUUUAAAGAAGCUCACAUGUAGAAUAUUUUGAUCGCUGGGUUAGUUACAGAGGCGUCGAAACACUGUUUCUGAAAGUGACGAGUUUCUGUAGAUUGCUUUGACGGGGCAAAAAAAAGGCCAGGUUGCUUCGAAAUGGCCAUAAAUGGUCAGAAACCCUCACACUUCUGUGGGACUUAACGAGAAGAAGGAAAAUUAGCUGUUCCUUUUGCUUAUUCUGCAGUUGGUCCCACAUAAUCAGUUUAGCUCCAAGCCAAUCUGAAGCUUUUUAGGUUUGUCUCUUCUUUUGGUUUUGCCUAUUGAGCGUCGCAACUUGCAAUAUUAUUUUGGCAUUGUCAAUGAACAUGGACUUAGUACUGAAAUCGUACAUGUAGAGGAGAGGCAAGUUUCAUUCAUUUGGGAGAGACCAGCUUUAAUGCAAUCAUACAUUCACAAACCAAAGAUACUAUGGGUCUCUCCUGGGACAGGUUCAUCUUUCGCUAGCAGUACGCAGCCAACACAAGCAGGGUAGAGGCGGGGGAAGAUCUGAGUGACCUUAGAUAAAAGCAAACCCGCCGCUCCCGAACACACUUACAAUCUUAGAUAGGAACACAAAUCGGUUGAGUUCAGCCAUUAAAGUAAUAGAAAGGGGUGUUAGUCGAGCUGGAAAAAAAAGGGCUUUCUCUUUCUCUAGCACCACCUUUUUAGGAAGCAAUUCUGCCCACAUGUUUGCACCUAUUCACUAUCUUCCCUUCUUAUUUAUGCAAAGUCGGGAUAGUACCGGUCGUCCGGGUGCUGUGGUGCCGGGUAUAUUAGACUUCAUAGUUGUCUUGCUCGUCGUCUUCUCCGCAUUUUCCUUCCAGGUUGAUGCGCUUGUACCACUUUGCACAAGCUAUGUACACCAUCAAAUCUACUACUGUUAGGGCAGCUAGGAGGAAGUAAAAUCUGUCCAGAUGACCCUUGUUUAGAUUCCCUGGGAUCCAUCCGGGCAUGUGGUCCUCGGUCGAGAUCUUCAUGACCAUACUCACAAGCAAGCUGCUAACAUAGUUCCCUAGCGAGAUCGAUGUCAUGCAAAGGGCACUCCCGAAGCUCUUCAACCCAUCUGGUGCUUGUGCGUUGAAGAAUUCCAGUUGGCCUACGUACAUGAAAACUUCGGAAGCUCCAAUCAGUGCAUACUGCGGGACCUGCCAUAAUAUGCUCAAGGUGCUCGAGCCCUCGCAACGUGUGCAGUCUUUGCGAGCAUACUUCAGCCUGUAGCACUCCACGAUUCCUGCAGCGACCAUGGCCAGAAACCCGAUAACCAGUCCGAUGCCCAUUCGCUGCAACUCUGUGAGCCCUCGCGAGUGUGUCUUCCUUAUUCUCCCCACUAGUGGGUCAAUAACCCUUCGGUAGAGGAAAAUGAAAACCGCGACACUUACAAUGUCAAAGCUGGACAUGCUAGCCGGAGGGAUUCUGAAGUGUGAAACAGUCGUUUUCAUGGCUGCUCCUUGCUCCACGAACAGCGAGGCCAUCUGCGUGAAGACUACGGAAUAGAUGAUGGUGCAAAGCCAGAUCGGUAGGAGUCUCAGUACGCACUUGACUUCUUCCACUUGAGUUAUCGGGCAGAGGCGCCACUUGUUGUAACGACCCUGCUUCUGGUCCUCGAGAUCUCUUGAUGUAAUAUAAGCCGCUCUAUCCAAAAACCUGCAUCAUGGAGGUUAGGAUUGUUCCGCAACGCUCUUUUUCUUACAGUUAAUUUGAAUGGUUGGCAGCUA